AACGCCGCGUGAGUGAUGAAGGCCUUCGGGUCGUAAAGCUCUGUCUAGUGGGAAGAACCCAUCCCGUAACAACACGGCGGGAUGCUGACGGUACCACUGAAGGAAGCACCGGCUAACUCCGUGCCAGCAACGUCGGUGACUGAGCGGGCUGGCAAGGCGCAUA
rnacentral:rRNA from 1 species